UACGUAGGUGGCGAGCGUUGUCCGGAAUUACUGGGUGUAAAGCGCGUGUAGCGGGGUCGGCAAGUCAGAUGUGAAAUCCCCGGGCUCAACCCGGGAACUGCACCUGAAACUGCGAUCCUUGAGUACUGGAGAGGGUGGCGGAAUUCCUGGUGUAGAGGUGAAAUUCGUAGAUAUCAGGAGGAACACCGGUGGCGAAGGCGGCCACCUGGACAGUUACUGACGCUGAGACGCGAAAGCGUGGGUAGCAAACAGG
rnacentral:rRNA from 1 species